rnacentral:rRNA from 1 species
GAUGAACGCUGGCGGCGUGCUUAACACAUGCAAGUCGAACGGAGUGCCUUAGAAAGAGGAUUCGUCCAAUUGAUAAGGUUACUUAGUGGCGGACGGGUGAGUAACGCGUGAGGAACCUGCCUCGGAGUGGGGAAUAACAGACCGAAAGGCCUGCUAAUACCGCAUAAUGCAGUUGGAUCGCAUGGUCCUGACUGCCAAAGAUUUAUCGCUCUGAGAUGGCCUCGCGUCUGAUUAGCUUGUUGGCGGGGUAAUGGCCCACCAAGGCGACGAUCAGUAGCCGGACUGAGAGGUUGGCCGGCCACAUUGGGACUGAGACACGGCCCAGACUCCUACGGGAGGCAGCAGUGGGGAAUAUUGGGCAAUGGGCGCAAGCCUGACCCAGCAACGCCGCGUGAAGGAAGAAGGCUUUCGGGUUGUAAA